GCCAAAUAAGGGGAUAAAAGCUGGCCACAGCAACCAGCAGCAGCAACCAGCUGGGUUCCCCUUCCACCCCCUUGGAAGCUUUGUUCUUUUGCUCUUCACAACAAAUCUUGCUGCUGCUCACUCAUUGGGUCCCUACUACCUUUAUGAGCUGUAACACUCACCACGAGGGUCUGCGGCUUCAUUCCUGAAGUCAGCGAGACCACGAACCCACCAGGAGGAACAAACAACUCCGGACGUGCCACCUUUAAGAGCUGUAACACUCACUGCAAAGGUCUGUGGCUUCACUCCUGAAGUCGGCAAGACCAGGAACCCACCGGAAGGAAGAAACUCCAGACACAUUUGAACAUCUGAAGGAACAAACUCCCGACACACCAUCUUUAAGAACUGUAACGUGAGGGUCUGUGGCUUCAUUCUUAAAGUCAGUGAGACCAAGAACCCACCGGAAGGAACCAAUUCUGGACACGAUAUGACUACAAAAUGUUAGAAGGAGCAGUCCAGAAAAGGAAACAGCAUGUGCAAAAGCUCAACUGUGGGAAGGAACUCAGUGCAUUCAAGGAAGAAAAAGUAGACCAGUGAGUCUCAAAUAGAGUGAAUUCAGGGAAGAAGUGCAAGAAAUGAAGAUGGAGAGUCAAGACAGAUCCAGGUGGUGCAGGGCCUUGUAGCAAAUGAUGCAGAAGGCCAAAAGGGAAGCUGCGGUGCUUUUCAGGACAAAGCCUCGAAGUCACACAUCCUCACUUCUGUUGUUCCAACCAUGAUUCAAUGUGGCAAGGGGCUGACUACACAAGGCUGUGAACACCGGGAAGGAAAUAUCACUGAAGGACAAAUUGAUGGCUAGCUAACACAGUGUGUGAACAUUUAAAAAUAGAGAUGAAAAUCAAACUUCAUCUGUAGUACAAAAAAUGUUAAAGGAAACCCUUCAGGCAGAAGGAAAAUGAUGCAAU
rnacentral:lncRNA from 1 species